GACGAACGCUGGCGGCGUGCUUAACACAUGCAAGUCGAACGGAAAGGCCCUGCUUUUGUGGGGUGCUCGAGUGGCGAACGGGUGAGUAACACGUGAGUAACCUGCCCUUGACUUUGGGAUAACUUCAGGAAACUGGGGCUAAUACCGGAUAGGAGCUCCUGCUGCAUGGUGGGGGUUGGAAAGUUUCGGCGGUUGGGGAUGGACUCGCGGCUUAUCAGCUUGUUGGUGGGGUAGUGGCUUACCAAGGCUUUGACGGGUAGCCGGCCUGAGAGGGUGACCGGCCACAUUGGGACUGGGAUACGGCCCAGACUCCUACGGGAGGCAGCAGUGGGGAAUAUUGCACAAUGGGCGGAAGCCUGAUGCAGCAACGCCGCGUGCGGGAUGACGGCCUUCGGGUUGUAAACCGCUUUCGCCUGUGACGAAGCGUGAGUGACGGUAAUGGGUAAAGAGGCACCGGCUAACUACGUG
rnacentral:rRNA from 1 species